rnacentral:rRNA from 1 species
AGAGUUUGAUCCUGGCUCAGAUUGAACGCUGGCGGCAUGCCUUACACAUGCAAGUCGAACGGCAGCACGGGGGCAACCCUGGUGGCGAGUGGCGAACGGGUGAGUAACAUAUCGGAACGUGCCCUGGAGUGGGGGAUAACUAGUCGAAAGAUUAGCUAAUACCGCAUACGAUCUACGGAUGAAAGUGGGGGAUCGCAAGACCUCAUGCUCGUGGAGCGGCCGAUAUCUGAUUAGCUAGUUGGUGGGGUAAAGGCCUACCAAGGCAUCGAUCAGUAGCUGGUCUGAGAGGACGACCAGCCACACUGGGACUGAGACACGGCCCAGACUCCUACGGGAGGCAGCAGUGGGGAAUUUUGGACAAUGGGCGCAAGCCUGAUCCAGCAAUGCCGCGUGAGUGAAGAAGGCCUUCGGGUUGUAAAGCUCUUUUGUCAGGGAAGAAACGGUGAGGGCUAAUAUCCCUUGCUAAUGACGGUACCUGAAGAAUAAGCACCGGCUAACUACGUGCCAGCAGCCGCGGUAAUACGUAGGGUGCAAGCGUUAAUCGGAAUUACUGGGCGUAAAGCGUGCGCAGGCGGUUGUGCAAGACCGAUGUGAAAUCCCCGGGCUUAACCUGGGAAUGGCAUUGGUGACUGCACGGCUAGAGUGUGUCAGAGGGGGGUAGAAUUCCACGUGUAGCAGUGAAAUGCGUAGAGAUGUGGAGGAAUACCGAUGGCGAAGGCAGCCCCCUGGGAUAACACUGACGCUCAUGCACGAAAGCGUGGGGAGCAAACAGGAUUAGAUACCCUGGUAGUCCGCGCCCUAAACGAUGUCAACUAGUUGUCGGGUCUUAAUUGACUUGGUAACGCAGCCAACGCGUGAAGUUGACCGCCUGGGGAGUACGGUCGCAAGAUUAAAACUCAAAGGAAUUGACGGGGACCCGCACAAGCGGUGGAUGAUGUGGAUUAAUUCGAUGCAACGCGAAAAACCUUACCUACCCUUGACAUGGCAGGAAUCCCUGAGAGAUCAGGGAGUGCUCGAAAGAGAACCUGCACACAGGUGCUGCAUGGCUGUCGUCAGCUCGUGUCGUGAGAUGUUGGGUUAAGUCCCGCAACGAGCGCAACCCUUGUCAUUAGUUGCUACGAAAGGGCACUCUAAUGAGACUGCCGGUGACAAACCGGAGGAAGGUGGGGAUGACGUCAAGUCCUCAUGGCCCUUAUGGGUAGGGCUUCACACGUCAUACAAUGGUACAUACAGAGGGCCGCCAACCCGCGAGGGGGAGCUAAUCCCAGAAAGUGUAUCGUAGUCCGGAUUGCAGUCUGCAACUCGACUGCAUGAAGUUGGAAUCGCUAGUAAUCGCGGAUCAGCAUGUCGCGGUGAAUACGUUCCCGGGUCUUGUACACACCGCCCGUCACACCAUGGGAGCGGGUUUUACCAGAAGUAGGUAGCUUAACCGCAAGGAGGGCGCUUACCACGGUAGGAUUCGUGACUGGGGUGAAGUCGUAACAAGGUAACC